rnacentral:rRNA from 1 species
UACGUAGGGGGCGAGCGUUGUCCGGAUUUAUUGGGCGUAAAGAGCUCGUAGGCGGUUCGAUAAGUCGGAUGUGAAAUCUCCACGCUCAACGUGGAGAGGCCAUUCGAUACUGUCGUGACUCGAGUCCGGUAGGGGAGUGUGGAAUUCCCGGUGUAGCGGUGAAAUGCGCAGAUAUCAGGAGGAACACCGGUGGCGAAGGCGGGUCUCUGGGCCGAUACUGACGCUGAGGAGCGAAAGCGUGGGGAGCGAACAGG